UACGGAGGAUCCAAGCGUUAUCCGGAUUUAUUGGGUUUAAAGGGUGCGUAGGUGGCCUGUUAAGUCAGGGGUGAAAGACGGUAGCUCAACUAUCGCAGUGCCUUUGAUACUGAUGGGCUUGAAUACACUUGAGGUAGGCGGAAUGUGACAAGUAGCGGUGAAAUGCAUAGAUAUGUCACAGAACACCAAUUGCGAAGGCAGCUUACUAAAGUGUAAUUAACACUAAAACACAAAAGCGUAAAAAUCAAACAGG
rnacentral:rRNA from 1 species